GACGAACGCUGGCGGCGUGCUUAACACAUGCAAGUCGAACGGAAAGGCCCUGCUUUUGUGGGGUGCUCGAGUGGCGAAAGGGUGAGUAACACGUGAGUAACCUGCCCUUGACUUUGGGAUAACUUCAGGAAACUGGGGCUAAUACCGGAUAGGAGCUCCUGCUGCAUGGUGGGGGUUGGAAAGUUUCGGCGGUUGGGGAUGGACUCGCGGCUUAUCAGCUUGUUGGUGGGGUAGUGGCUUACCAAGGCUUUGACGGGUAGCCGGCCUGAGAGGGUGACCGGCCACAGUGGGACUGAGAUAGGGGCCAGACUCCAACGGGAGGCAGCAGUGGGGAAUAUUGCACAAUGGGCGGCAGCCUGAUGCAGCAACGCCGCGUGCGGGAUGACGGCCUUCGGGUUGUAAACCGCUUUCGCCUGUGACGAAGCGUGAGUGACGGUAAUGGGUAAAGAAGCACCGGCUAACUACGUG
rnacentral:rRNA from 1 species